GUCUUUAAGGUUCAAAGAAAAUAUCUAACUUGCUGGGUCUAAGGAUUUUGAACCGUAUUGACGUUUGGAAUGUGCUAGACUUAAGGCUAGGUAUGUAUUAACAAGCUCAGAAGACGUGUUUCGCGACUACAUGUAGCUGGCGCUCUCGCACCCCGAGCGGCUGGUGCGCGCGCGGCACAACAACAACGAAGGGGAACAACCAACUGAAUGACGAAACGCCCCAGGGGUGAAGCGACGAUGGCUGUGGUAACACGACGACUGGAUGACGUCACGCCGGUGACGUCACACGUGCAUUGCGACCGGUGAAGAAAACUACGAGGUAUAUUAUUCCAUUAUACAAAUAGACGUUGACGCUAACAGUAGACAACGAAGGCCUACGAUGAUAAAAACUCAGUGUAACUAAUGAAUUGUAAUA